ACUACAGUUCCACUCCACAGGGAAAAAAAGUACAUAGUCUUUGGGAGCUUUCUGCUCCAGCUCUUUCGACUAUGCCAAACGUGCUACACUCCAGCUAAGGCAACCUUAAGUUCAGAAGGGACAUUUCUGACAGUCAACUGCAGCUGUUCCAAUGGACACCACCGUAUCGACCAGCCAGCCAACCAUAAAUGGGAAAGCAGUUGGGAACCUUCUGCUCUCAGCUUCCAUCCAAUUCACUGGAGCAAGUCCAGCUCAAGUGCUCAGACUGCUUCGGCACAUGGCAGUGCAGGUGAUGUGUGACAGGACUUUCUUUAACUACCAGAGAGGUUGUCUUCUUCCAGGUGUUGAAAAGGUGUGGAUGAAGCAGCAGCAACAGAUGCUGACAGGGCACGCCAUUUAAUUAGUUGGAGAUGGCCGCUGCGAUUCACCAGGGUUCAGCGCAGAAUACAUGACGCACUCCUUCCUCGUGGCGUCACUGAACGAAAUUGUUCACAGUGUUCAAGUUCAAGUUGGACAGUCUGAGGAAGUACGAAGCAGUGUCAGCAUGGAGACGCACCCACUCGUGACAGGCCUGGCUGAUCUUGAAGCGUUGGACAUGAAAAUCGUGCCCCUAACAACUGGUAGCCAUCCUGCCAUUCGUAAGCACAUGCGAACUCAGAAACCUGACAUAAAACACAGCUUCGACAUUUCAUACGUGGCUAAAG